rnacentral:rRNA from 1 species
AGUCACUGACAUUAGAUACCCGGGUAGUCCUAGCCGUAAACGAUGCGGACUGGGUGUUGGGAUGGCUUUGAGCUGUUCCGGUGCCGAAGGGAAGCUGUUAAGUCCGCCGCCUGGGAAGUACGGUCGCAAGACUGAAACUUAAAGGAAUUGGCGGGGAGCACCACAACAGGUGGAGCCUGCGGUUUAAUUGGACUCAACGCCGGGAAGCUCACCGGAUAGGACAGCAGAAUGAUUGCCGGGCUGAAGACCCUGCAUGACUAGCUG